CAUAGGUUAAUGAGGCGAACCGGGGGAACUGAAACAUCUAAGUACCCCGAGGAAAAGAAAUCAACCGAGAUUCCCCCAGUAGCGGCGAGCGAACGGGGAGGAGCCCAGAGCCUGAAUCAGUGUGUGUGUUAGUGGAAGCGUCUGGAAAGGCGCGCGAUACAGGGUGACAGCCCCGUACACAAAAAUGCACAUGCUGUGAGCUCGAUGAGUAGGGCGGGACACGUGGUAUCCUGUCUGAAUAUGGGGGGACCAUCCUCCAAGGCUAAAUACUCCUGACUGACCGAUAGUGAACCAGUACCGUGAGGGAAAGGCGAAAAGAACCCCGGCGAGGGGAGUGAAAAAGAACCUGAAACCGUGUACGUACAAGCAGUGGGAGCACAGAGCAAUCUGUGUGACUGCGUACCUUUUGUAUAAUGGGUCAGCGACUUAUAUUCUGUAGCAAGGUUAACCGAAUAGGGGAGCCGAAGGGAAACCGAGUCUUAACUGGGCGUUAAGUUGCAGGGUAUAGACCCGAAACCCGGUGAUCUAGCCAUGGGCAGGUUGAAGGUUGGGUAACACUAACUGGAGGACCGAACCGACUAAUGUUGAAAAAUUAGCGGAUGACUUGUGGCUGGGGGUGAAAGGCCAAUCAAACCGGGAGAUAGCUGGUUCUCCCCGAAAGCUAUUUAGGUAGCGCCUCGUGAAUUCAUCUCCGGGGGUAGAGCACUGUUUCGGCAAGGGGGUCAUCCCGACUUACCAACCCGAUGCAAACUGCGAAUACCGGAGAAUGUUAUCACGGGAGACACACGGCGGGUGCUAACGUCCGUCGUGAAGAGGGAAACAACCCAGACCGCCAGCUAAGGUCCCAAAGUCAUGGUUAAGUGGGAAACGAUGUGGGAAGGCCCAGACAGCCAGGAUGUUGGCUUAGAAGCAGCCAUCAUUUAAAGAAAGCGUAAUAGCUCACUGGUCGAGUCGGCCUGCGCGGAAGAUGUAACGGGGCUAAACCAUGCACCGAAGCUGCGGCAGCGACACUAUGUGUUGUUGGGUAGGGGAGCGUUCUGUAAGCCUGUGAAGGUGUGCUGUGAGGCAUGCUGGAGGUAUCAGAAGUGCGAAUGCUGACAUAAGUAACGAUAAAGCGGGUGAAAAGCCCGCUCGCCGGAAGACCAAGGGUUCCUGUCCAACGUUAAUCGGGGCAGGGUGAGUCGACCCCUAAGGCGAGGCCGAAAGGCGUAGUCGAUGGGAAACAGGUUAAUAUUCCUGUACUUGGUGUUACUGCGAAGGGGGGACGGAGAAGGCUAUGUUGGCCGGGCGACGGUUGUCCCGGUUUAAGCGUGUAGGCUGGUUUUCCAGGCAAAUCCGGAAAAUCAAGGCUGAGGCGUGAUGACGAGGCACUACGGUGCUGAAGCAACAAAUGCCCUGCUUCCAGGAAAAGCCUCUAAGCAUCAGGUAACAUCAAAUCGUACCCCAAACCGACACAGGUGGUCAGGUAGAGAAUACCAAGGCGCUUGAGAGAACUCGGGUGAAGGAACUAGGCAAAAUGGUGCCGUAACUUCGGGAGAAGGCACGCUGAUAUGUAGGUGAAGCGACUUGCUCGUGGAGCUGAAAUCAGUCGAAGAUACCAGCUGGCUGCAACUGUUUAUUAAAAACACAGCACUGUGCAAACACGAAAGUGGACGUAUACGGUGUGACGCCUGCCCGGUGCCGGAAGGUUAAUUGAUGGGGUCAGCGCAAGCGAAGCUCUUGAUCGAAGCCCCGGUAAACGGCGGCCGUAACUAUAACGGUCCUAAGGUAGCGAAAUUCCUUGUCGGGUAAGUUCCGACCUGCACGAAUGGCGUAAUGAUGGCCAGGCUGUCUCCACCCGAGACUCAGUGAAAUUGAACUCGCUGUGAAGAUGCAGUGUACCCGCGGCAAGACGGAAAGACCCCGUGAACCUUUACUAUAGCUUGACACUGAACAUUGAGCCUUGAUG
rnacentral:rRNA from 1 species